GGGUGUGUAGUAUAAUGGCAUUAUGCAGUGUUUGCAUCAUUGCGACCCUGGUUCGAUUCCAGGCACAUCCA
rnacentral:tRNA from 1 species